UACAGAGGGUGCAAGCGUUAAUCGGACUUACUGGGCGUAAAGGGCGUGUAGGCGGAUAUAUAAGUCGGGUGUGAAAUCCUCGAGCUUAACUCGAGAAUGCCACCCGAGACUAUAUGCCUAGAGUAUGAGAGAGGGAAGUGGAAUUUCCGGUGUAGCGGUGAAAUGCGUAGAGAUCGGAAAGAACACCAGUGGCGAAGGCGGCUUCCUGGCUCAAUACUGACGCUGAGGCGCGAAAGCGUGGGGAGCAAACAGG
rnacentral:rRNA from 1 species